rnacentral:tRNA from 1 species
GAGGGUAUAGCUCAGUGGUAGAGUAUGUGCUUAGCAUGCACAAGGUCCUAGGUUCAAUCCCCAGUACUUCCA